GUGCCAGCAGCCGCGGUAAGACGAAGGUGGCAAGCGUUGUUCGGAAUCACUGGGCAUAAAGAGCACGUAGGCGGCUAAGUAAGUCGGAUGUGAAAUACCUCGGCUCAACCGAGGAACUGCGUCCGAUACUGCUUGGCUUGAGGUCCGGAGGGGAGAGUGGAAUUCCCGGUGGAGCGGUGAAAUGCGUAGAGAUCGGGAAGAACGCCGGCGGCGAAAGCGACUCUCUGGUCGGAAUCUGACGCUGAGGUGCGAAAGCUAGGGGAGCAAACGGGAUUAGAAACCCCAGUAGUCC
rnacentral:rRNA from 1 species